UUGAAAUUUUCCCCAGGCUGCACAUAUCUUCUUCCUCUAUCAGUUACUUGCUGCUAUUUCAUCUACUCCUACUAUAAUUUCCAAAUUAAUUAACUGAGAAGACCAAGUUAUUAAGUUGUUUUUUUUUCUUUCUUACAGUUUGUUUUCCAGUUCCAACCUGCUUCACUAAACAAAAAAAAUCUCCAAAUUUUACUAUUGGGACUAGGAGGAUCAUUUGGUAAGUACAUCUUACUCACUAACCCAAUUAAUAUAUAUUUAAUUUCCAUAUUGUACAUAUGUGUUUGUGUAAAAUCUUCAAUGCAUGAUCAUCAGUUUGUCUUCAAAAUCCUCGAUAUAUAUAUAUAUAUAGAGGAUUUUGAAGAAUGAGUAGAGGAUUUUGGAGCUACCAAGAAAUUUAGCUUGAAUUUGAAGAAUGAGUUAAAUAGUAUGUUCUUCGAUUACAUCAAGUUUGUUAUAUGGAUUUUGCGACUGUAAUUCCUUGAUUAAUUCGUAUGCAUGCAUCACAUCAACUGUUUUUUUGCGACGAAUUCAUGAGUAGAGGGUGGUAUCCGUAUCUCCUUGCAUUUACUUAAUUUGUGUGGUAUAUGUCCAUAACAAUACUCUGAGCAGGGUGCUAAAAGAGAUCAUACACAAUUAUACAGAAAAAGAGAUGGCUAAGCUUGUUUCUCCAGCUGCUGUGAGUUGCUGCUUUUUCUUGAUGAUCAUCUUGUUCAACUCAGGUUAUUAAUAGCUUUCUAUUGAUAUUUUAUUCUACAUUGCUAUAAUAGUAUCAAUCAAUACUUCUUUAUAUAAAUGAGAAUCCUUUAGGCUUAUGUGUCAACUCUAUGUUCACUCUCAAGAAUUCCGAAAUAUUAUAGUGCCACAUCAGCGCAUAGUAAGCACCACAUAAUACUUUUUUUAACCGACACUUCUCUUAACCAUUUUAACGGACACAUCCAUUGACCAACAGUUCUGUAUUUUGCAAUAAUGUCCAUUCAAAAUUAUUGAAAAGACAUGCCUACUUGAAAGUUUAAAUAUAUAUUCUGUAAUCAUCCAAAAAACACGACUAUUUGAAAGUUUAAAAAUGUCCGAUUUGAAAGGAUUCAUAUAGUGCGAUCCAACUUUCCUAUUCAAACAAACACUCAUGAAGUUUCAACUAAACAAACAGACUGAACACUCAUGAUGGCACCAACAAAAUGUUGGUGCCAUCGUCGGCUAUGAAAGAUAUUGUUGUUGUGAGAACAACCACUCACGAUAUAAAGCCUUUGGUCAAUUUUGUAUAUCUUCACGUGAGCCAUUGAUGCUCUUGGAUCAAAUGGGUAUGAUUUUGUUGUUUCCGGAACAGAUACAUGCAUCUCUAUUUGUUAACAGAUAUAAGGAGUUCAAAUCACAUCUCGGAAAAAUCAAAUGACAGUGUUUAGAAUCGCUACAUUCUCAAAUACAAAAGAAUGCCGAUAGGUUCAUUACUAAACCUGGCGAGAAUCUGCCAAUAUAAUAUUCUGAUCUGUCAUUGGAGAAUGAGAAGAAGAUGAUCGACCAUAAAAGAAGUGACAAGUGUAUACUCGAUCUUCGUGGCGAAGAGAAGCGAUGCUAAAUCCUAUUACUGAAUGAGCCCGUGCAAAUCAGAACUUGCAGUAAAUGUUUAAACGAUCGCGUGACAAUCUAUAAGUGAAUAUAUGAAUGAUUUUCUCUCUGUAUCUGUCCAUGCACUUUGUUUAAUCAUUUUUAUUCUGUCGAAUUGUCGAUUUACUGGCAAGGGAAUAGCAAAUUUUAUUCGUUGGCGAGUCACAUUACAAAAUUCAUUGAUGCAGGUAUUUGACCUUCAUUAGCUGCUUUUGUUUUACAUCAAGUAACUUCUCAGUGGCUUAAUUUAGUUGAUGAUGCACAUUUUUGGUAAUCAUUCAUUCAGUUCUGCCUUGAACUUAUGAAGGUGCAAUGGCAAGAAAUAUUUGCACUGAGAUGUUUGUAUGCACCAGUCGAGUUAUUGACAUAUGCGUAGUUGGGGCAAGAAUCUGUUGUGAAAUUCCUUGUGAGACUAAACAUG